rnacentral:tRNA from 1 species
GAGGCAUGAGACAACAUGUGGGCGCAUGGUCUUGAAAACCGUCGUGAGGUGAUCCCUCACCGUGGGUUCGAAUCCCACCGCCUCCG